UACAGAGGGUGCGAGCGUUAAUCGGAAUUACUGGGCGUAAAGCGUGCGUAGACGGUUUCGUAAGUCGGGUGUGAAAUCCCCGGGCUCAACCUGGGAACUGCAUUUGUGACUGCAUGGCUCGAGUGCGGCAGAGGGGGAUGGAAUUCCGCGUGUAGCAGUGAAAUGCGUAGAUAUGCGGAGGAACACCGAUGGCGAAGGCAAUCCCCUGGGC
rnacentral:rRNA from 1 species